UGCCAGCAGCCGCGGUAAUACCGGCGGCCCGAGUGAUGGCCGAUAUUAUUGGGCCUAAAGCGUCCGUAGCUGGCCGAACAAGUCCGUCGGGAAAUCCACGUGCUUAACACGUGGGCGACCGGCGGAAACUGUUCGGCUUGGGGCCGGAGGACCCGAGGGGUACGUCCGGGGUAGGAGUGAAAUCCUGUAAUCCUGGACGGACCGCCGGUGGCGAAAGCACUCUGAGAAGACGGCUUCGACAGUGAGGGACGAAAGCUAGGGUCUCAAACCGGAUUAGAUACCCGAGUAGUCC
rnacentral:rRNA from 1 species